GCGGGCGGGCGGCAGCGCCGCGGGGUGCGGAGCCGCGCGGAGCCGCCCGGAGCCGCGGCCGCACCGCGCCGGCCCGGCAGCGCCCCGCGGGCGGCGGAAACAUGAACCAGACGGCGACCGUGUCCCACCACGUCCCGUGCCAGCCGCCCGCCGCCGCCAAGGUCUCUCUCGGAAAAUACUGGGGAGCAGAGUGCAGCGUGGUGCUUGCUCAGGGAAGUGCUCCUCCGUUAGAGCUGGUACAGCCGAUGCUAAUUUUUCACUGACAGCGACAUUUAUUAAAUUUGACUGGACUUCUAAGCCAAAACAACAACAACAAAUGUCAAUACGCCAUUAAAAAAAAGAGACCCAGACAAGUCAAUAGUCUUCAGAAAGAGAGAACAUGAUUCAGAGCCUUCUAGACAUGGGUCCGUUAUACAUCCAACACAGUAAUACUGAUGCCAUUAGAAUACUGUCUCAUUUUUCUGCUCUUAAUUUAAUGUGUCAGGUGUAAAAUGUGCUUUAUAAAUAGUUUCAAGUGCUUCCACGCUAAGCAGAUGGAUACUUCAUUACAGAGUAUAUAUGACACUAGACAGGUAGUAAUUGCCCUGUGGUAAUGGGGAACUAAUAUUGAAGAUUAUUUCUAAAAUACACCAUUAAUGACCAGACAAGUACAAGUUGCAUAUUAACUCUCUCUUGCCAAGAAACAUUGUUAAUUCCAGCAAUUAUGAAAGUGCCAAAAAACAAAGUUACGGAAAAACUUUACACCUGCUGGCAGGAUAUCUGUGUAAACCAGUCUUUCUUCUUUUUUUAUUAUUCUUUACAUUCCUCUCCAAUAAACAGAGUAAUUACAUCUCA